rnacentral:rRNA from 1 species
GCAAGUCGAGCGAGAAAGCACUUCGGUGCGAGUACAGCGGCGGACGGGUGAGUAACGCGUAGGAAUCUACCUGGUAGUGGGGGACAACUUGGGGAAACCCAAGCUAAUACCGCAUACGCCCUAAGGGGGAAAGCGGGGGAUCUUCGGACCUCGCGCUAUUGGAUGAGCCUGCGUAGGAUUAGCUUGUUGGUGAGGUAAAGGCUCACCAAGGCAACGAUCCUUAGCUGGUCUGAGAGGAGGAGC